rnacentral:siRNA from 1 species
GGGUAUAUUGGUCGUGGCGUGUC